UACGAAGGGGGCUAGCGUUACUCGGAUUGACUGGGCGUAAAGGGCGCGUAGGCGGCUUGUACAGUCAGACGUGAAAUCCCUGGGCUUAACCUAGGAACUGCAUCUGAUACUGGAUAGCUGGAGUGCGGUAGAGGGUAGUGGAAUUUCCGGUGUAGUGGUGAAAUGCGUAGAUAUCGGAAGGAACACCAGUGGCGAAGGCGGCUACCUGGACUGACACUGACGCUGAGGCGCGAGAGCGUGGGGAGCAAACAGG
rnacentral:rRNA from 1 species